rnacentral:rRNA from 1 species
AUUGAACGCUGGCGGCAGGCCUAACACAUGCAAGUCGAGCGGAGCGGCAGACGGGUGAGUGAUGCCUAGGAAUCUGCCUGGUAGUGGGGGAGAACGUUCGGUAACGGGCGCUGAUACUGCAUCCUAUCAGAUGAGCCUAUGUGGGUUUAGCUAGUGGGUGGGGUAAAGGCCCACCAAGGCGACGAUCCGUAGCUGGUCUGAGAGGAUGAUCAGCCACACUGGGACUGAGACACGGCCCAGACUCCUACGGGAGGCAGCAGUGGGGAAUAUUGGACAAUGGGCGAAAGCCUGAUGCAGCCAUGCCGCGUGUAUGAAGAAGGUCUUCGGAUUGUAAAGUACUUUAAGUCGGGAGGCGUUACCGACAGAAUAAGCACCGGCUAACUCCGUGCCAGCAGCCGCGGUAAUAC